AGAGGGAGAGAAAAAAGAACAGAGGGGGAAAAGGAAAUAAAAAUACCAUAUGAUUUCCCAUGAGGUAGAAAUUGCAGAUUGUCUCCUUCCUGACCCCUGGACUUGCACUGAUCUUGAGAUGAGACCAAAUAGGGGAUGUGAAUGGUAACACAGAUUGUGCUGCUUUAUGAUGGGGCACUGGAUGAUAAAGUUCUUAUUAUAAUGCCAUACAUGUAUUCGAAGGAGGGCCUUGAACCACGAAUUUGGAACAGUCUACCUUGAAGACAUGUCAGGCUUCUUCACAGCAGCGUUGCGAUGUGGCUUUUAUUACACAGGUAUUUUGUCUGGCUUGUCUUGUGUAGGAGAAUUUUAUAAUUUAAUGGACAUUAAAACAUUGAUAAAAGAACAUGACAACAAUAGUAAAAUCUAAUAAAAUUUUGAUGGGUAACUGGCGUUCUCUGUGUCCACACUGUCGCGUCUGGUGUAGACACGGUGAUAGGCACAUCGGUUACACAGCAUAUUGCUUUAUAAACAGCCAUAUGUCAGCAAUAUGAGGAAAGGCAGUGAUGUUUAAAGUUUAAUAAUGUAUUGUUUCUAAUAAUCCUUAUAAACAAUCUGUCUGUCAAGUAAUGUAAACGUGUAUUCACAACUGUAGGAAGUUUAAUUUUUCACUCCUCCAAAACUGCACAUCCAAUCAGAAUUCAGGGUUGUUUUCAUUGAGAGAAAUUGUGUGAUCGUUUUAAAGUGUUUUUUUCUAAAUGGGUUGAUAAGUGUUAAAGAUUGUAACUCUUGCUCUCAAGUUUUCAUUCAAUUGUUUGUGAGUGCAUCAACCUGUCAUCUUACAUUUUGUGAUCAGUUCGUUUACACGAGUGACAAGCACUUCAAUAUAAAUCAGUGGAGCAAAAAAGGGAAUUACAGAGGUCAUUGUUUCCGUUUAGGUCACACACAUCCACUGUCAGAUUCAACAGACCAAUUAGAUGAUGCGGUAAAAGCCUCUCACAUCCUUUACUAAAGAAACUAACCAUAUUAGCAGGCUCUCCAUCUUAUCUUUGAGCGAUAAACAGGCAGCUAUUCGAUUACAGCUAUUAAAUUAGAAACAGUCUCUAAACAAACAAUUACCUGAUUGUAAGUGUGGGACGGGUAAAGGGGGAUAAUGUAUAUUCAAGAAUUGUCUGAAUGCUCUAUUCAUAUUGCCUAGUUUACUUUUCCUAAAUGUUUCUGUGACUAGCAGUGAGCAUUUGUAAUAGUAAAAUGUGUGUUUUGGAAGUGAUGAAUGCAAGAUGGUUCCAUUUAAACGUAUCAUUUUUUUGUUUAAUGGCUUGAAUUAGUUUGAUAGCAUCAUUACAAUACAAUAGAGCAAAAAUCAGAUACCAACUCCACAUUUCUCUCUCUCUCGCUCUCUCGCACCCUGUUUCACCUUACACACAUACAUUGGAUCUGAAAAUAUACAGCCCUGAAUCAAAUGUCAUUUAGUUAGAACAGAGCAGUUUUUUAAGAAGAGAAAUGUGUGUAUAAGGUUAAAUUGCAUUUGGGUUUCAAUAUGUAUACUAAUUACAGUUGAUGUUGUAAUGACCCAGCUGUCACUCAAUACAGCUCUCGGGUUACUGUAAUGACUGCUAUUCUACCCAUGAGCCUCUGAGCUUUUUCAAUCACAACAAUAAAAACACAAUAGCAGCUUACUGAAGGAGCCGCCUGUGUUUGUGUAGUGCAAAGAAGUGUGUACAUAACGUGUGUGAAUUUGAUUUUCUUUCUUUCUUUCUUUCUUUCUUUCUUUCUUUCUUUCUUUCUUUCUUUCUUUCUUUCUUUCUUUCUUUCUUUCUUUCUUUCUUUCUUUCUUUCUUUCUUU